GAAAGCUAAUGAUCUGUAGGUGCUUCCCCCCCUCUUUCCUCUGGGCCCUAUCUCCUGUCGGUGGGGACAGGGGAGCAAGCAGAAGGACAAGGGCUCUCAUUCUGUCACCAUCUUUGCAGGGUCCUCCUUUCAGUCUUUCACUUGCUCUCAGGUGCUCUGAGGCCAUGUGAAGAACUUUCUGUGGUUUUCCCAAGGAUAAGCUUUCCUCUAUUUUUCUACGUCUUUGUGGCUUUUCUCCUCUCGACCCCUCCGUAAAGUGACCAGAGCUCAGUACAAAGCUUUCUAUUUUUCUCCAAGACAAACUUAGCUCUACCAGAGUGUCACCUCUGGGUCUCCAGUCCCCCCUGUGUUCCUUCCUGACAUGCGCAGUUACACUCCUCCCGUCAUCAUCGUGGCGUUGCAGGUGAUAGGCGAUCAGCACUGUGCCCUGGCUCAAGAAAGGGAGUUGUCAACAUAGUCUGGCCAAGAAACCAAAACUUGGCCUGGACCAUCAGCCAGUGGCCACCAUGGCAUCAGUAACACAGGAAGCCCCAUGGGUAGAGGCAUUUAAGCAAUGAAGUUAAGAAAGAUGUCAUAAAACGUGUUACUUGCAGUUUAGAUGCUAUUGAUUGCUACACUGCAACAGCUCCUGGCUUGCUUACCUCGGAGGGCAAUGCUCAGAAAACUUCAAGCUGCAGGUCUAUGGAGGAUGCUUCUCUGGUGUUGAAGAGAAAGCAGUGUUCCUAUGUGGGAACACCAAACCUUGAGCAGAGACCCACUUCCCCUUCUGCCUGGGAGUAGGCAGCUGUAAGACAAUGUUUA